rfam:Plasmodium knowlesi strain H chromosome 4, complete genome
ACCAUUGAACGAUUCGAAGAGUUAUUAUUGUGAAUAUUUUUUUCCAAAAAAUAUGUCCAAAAAUAUUAGCUUCAAAUCUGUUCAUAUAACAAAUGUAUAUACGGUGGCUUUUUAAAUUUUUAAUUUUAGAAAUGUCAAUCCAUAUAUAUCACAGAGAA